rnacentral:rRNA from 1 species
UACGGAGGGAGCUAGCGUUGUUCGGACUUACUGGGCGUAACGCGCACGUAGGCGGCUUUGUAAGUUAGAGGUGAAAGCCCGGGGCUCAACUCCGGAACUGCCUUUAAGACUGCAUCGCUUGAAUCCAGGAGAGGUGAGUGGAAUUCCGAGUGUAGAGGUGAAAUUCGUAGAUAUUCGGAAGAACACCAGUGGCGAAGGCGGCUCACUGGACUGGUAUUGACGCUGAGGUGCGAAAGCGUGGGGAGCAAGCAGG